GCUUACGGCCACACCACCCUGAGCGCGCCCGAUCUCGUCUGAUCUCGGAAGCUAAGCAGGGUGGGGCCUGGUUAGUACUUGGAUGGGAGACCGCCUGGGAAUACCAGGUGCCGUAAGCU
ensembl:rRNA 5S_rRNA 5S ribosomal RNA